rnacentral:rRNA from 1 species
GACAGAGGGUGCAAACGUUGUUCGGAAUUACUGGGCUUAAAGCGUACGUAGGCGGAUAUGCAGGCGUCGUGUGAAAUCCCUUGGCUCAACCAAGGAACUGCACGGCGAACCGCAUGUCUUGAGAUCGGUAGGGGCGGUCGGAACGAUAGGUGGAGUGGUGAAAUGCGUUGAUAUCUAUCGGAACGCCGAAGGUGAAAGCAGGCCGCUGGGCCGAUUCUGACGCUGAGGUACGAAAGCUAGGGGAGCAAACAGG